rnacentral:sRNA from 1 species
AAAAUAAUAAAUUUUGAAAACUUUUCUAUAGAAUACAUAAUUAUUAAAUUUUAAAAGUUAUUAAUUUUAGGAAAAGAGCAUCGUCUCGUGGUGUACCACGGGUUAAAUUCUAGUACUAGUCAAAACAAUUUGAACUCGAGUAGCGGAAAUUCUUUUUGGAUUCAUAUUAUUAUUUUGAACCUCUAAUUCAAAUUUGUUUUGUUUAAAUUCUUUUUUUUUUCGUUAUGAAAUUGUCAAAUUUAUUGAUAUACAUAAAACUGUUUAUGUACAAAGAUAUAAAAGAAUAGAUGGGCAAGUUGAAGUGGAUGGGCAAGUUGGGGAGUCUCAUGAUAUUGAAGUGAAAUCACUUUAUUGUGGAUCAUCUUUUCUAUGACCUGAAUAAGGUGAUCAACUAGUCGGAAUAUGUGCUUAUAUCGUCUGUCAUUUUGUUUACGCCAGACGUGAAAAAUUGUUGCCUGGAACACCAAAGUCCAAAGGAACCAAGAUGAAGAAAAGCUUUUACAAUGAAAUGAGAUGUUGCAAAGUCGUUUACAAGUCUCUCUAAUUUGUUAUUAGAAAAAAUUAGCUAAAUAUAUAUAUAUAUGAAUGGGAAAAAUGUCGAAAAAAUCAUGAACUUUCAAAUUUUGGACGAGAAAAGCAUGAACUUUCAAAAUGCCAUAAAAAUCCUAAACUUUGUUUUGACAUUUUGAAAACUGACCAACUUUCGUUGACCAGGCCGUUUCGGACAUGACGUUAAUUUUCCGUUAACGGAACAAUAACAGAGUUAAGUUUCUGUUAACAGUCUUCGUAGAACGAAACGACGUCGUUUUGAAUUCACUAAAAAAAAUAAUUGUUUGAUUCCCUAAAGUACUUAAUUUUUU